rnacentral:rRNA from 1 species
CCUACGGGAGGCAGCAGUGGGGAAUAUUGCACAAUGGGGGAAACCCUGAUGCAGCGACGCCGCGUGAGUGAAGAAGUAUUUCGGUACGUAAAGCUCUAUCAGCAGGGAAGAAAAUGACGGUACCUGACUAAGAAGCCCCGGCUAACUACGUUCCAGCAGCCGCGGUAAUACGUAGGGGGCAAGCGUUAUCCGGAUUUACUGGGUGUAAAGGGAGCGUAGACGGCAGCGCAAGUCUGGAGUGAAAUCCCAUGGCUUAACCAUGGAACUGCUUUGGAAACUGUGCAGCUAGAGUGCAGGAGAGGUAAGCGGAAUUCCUAGUGUAGCGGUGAAAUGCGUAGAUAUUAGGAGGAACACCAGUGGCGAAGGCGGCUUACUGGACUGUAACUGACGUUGAGGCUCGAAAGCGUGGGGAGCAAACAGGAUUAGAUACCCCUGUAGUC